CUCAUCUCCGGGGGUAGAGCACUGUUUCGGCUAGGGGGCCAUCCCGGCUUACCAACCCGAUGCAAACUGCGAAUACCGGAGAAUGUUAUCACGGGAGACACACGGCGGGUGCUAACGUCCGUCGUGAAGAGGGAAACAACCCAGACCGCCAGCUAAGGUCCCAAAGUCAUGGUUAAGUGGGAAACGAUGUGGGAAGGCCCAGACAGCCAGGAUGUUGGCUUAGAAGCAGCCAUCAUUUAAAGAAAGCGUAAUAGCUCACUGGUCGAGUCGGCCUGCGCGGAAGAUGUAACGGGGCUAAACCAUGCACCGAAGCUGCGGCAGCGAACGUAUCACUUAAAGCGAUUCAGCGGGUUACGAUUGACGGAGCGAAGCGACGUCAAAGCGUAUACAAAGUCGAGUCGGUUUAAGGAUACGUUCGUUGGGUAGGGGAGCGUUCUGUAAGCCUGUGAAGGUGUGUCGUGAGGC
rnacentral:rRNA from 1 species